UAGGUUUCCCAAAGAGAAUAUCCAUAUGUACCUGUUUUAUUAUUCAGUAACAGCUUUAUUACAGAAUGAAGACUUUUCAAAUAAUAUGAUUUAAGUUAGGGGUUCCUGCUUCCUAUCUCAUUAACCUAAUAGAGACAUAGAUCCUUUUGGAA